rnacentral:tRNA from 1 species
GGCUCGUUGGUCAAGAGGUUAAGACACCGCCCUUUCACGGCGGUAACAGGGGUUAAAUUCCCCUACGAAUCC